AUUGAACGCUGGCGGCAGGCCUAACACAUGCCAGUCGAACGGUAACAGGGAUCAGCUUGCUGAUUCGCUGACGAGUGGCGGACGGGUGAGUAAUGUCUGGGAAACUGCCUGAUGGAGGGGGAUAACUACUGGAAACGGUAGCUAAUACCGCAUAACGUCGCAAGACCAAAGAGGGGGACCUUCGGGCCUCUUGCCAUCGGAUGUGCCCAGAUGGGAUUAGCUAGUAGGUGGGGUAACGGCUCACCUAGGCGACGAUCCCUAGCUGGUCUGAGAGGAUGACCAGCCACACUGGAACUGAGACACGGUCCAGACUCCUACGGGAGGCAGCAGUGGGGAAUAUUGCACAAUGGGCGCAAGCCUGAUGCAGCCAUGCCGCGUGUAUGAAGAAGGCCUUCGGGUUGUAAAGUACUUUCAGCGGGGAGGAAGGGAGUAAAGUUAAGACCUUUGCUCAUUGACGUUACCCGCAGAAGAAGCACCGGCUAACUCCGU
rnacentral:rRNA from 1 species